UAAAUACCAACACUGAAAGACUUAAUUGCUGAAAAAUGCUGCUAUACAGUGAUGUAGUCAUAUUUAUAAUGUUGUUUACAUAUGCAAAGCCAGAACAAAUUUUUGAUUUCUAAUCCAUUCAGUUCAUCAGAAUAACAAUGAUGCUUACUGACGUCUGUGGGAUAUAGAAGAGGGAUUCAGAGGAUACGAGUGGACUGUUUGUUAUGUGCAAAGGAGAAACCCCAAAUUUGCAUGAAAUAUUGUACUGCAUAACUUCUAAACCACAUAAAAAGAGACUUGACUGCACUGUAUUUUUUUGGCAGCAAUGGGUUAGAUAAUUUAUGUUUUACUGUAUACUCAAUAAAAUGUAUAUAGAUUUAAAUCCAGUAGACAAAUAAAAUCUUUGAUAGUCCAUUAUAAACAACUAUGAGAUUGUUUAUAUCAUUCAUUUAGAAUCUUUGGAUGUGUGUGAAAAUCAAUGAUCAAAAAUGUUUAAGCUUUUACUGACUCACGAAAGAUAUUUUGAACACUUAGAAUACUGUUUUCUCUACUGCCAUAUUUUAUAUGUUUCAAAUGAUAGUCAAUAUUUAAGAAUACUACUUUUCUCAAACAAAGCACUAUCAGACAAAAUGCUAUUUAGAUAUUCUCUACUGAGAAUGGACUUCUCUUCAAUGAAAAUUUAUAAAGUAUACAUUUAUAUAUUUAACUUAUUGGAAAAUUAAAUUAAAUUAAAAUGGCAAUUUUCUGCAGAAUAAAUGUUGAUUUCCUUC
rnacentral:lncRNA from 1 species